ensembl:misc_RNA 7SK 7SK RNA
GAAUGUGAGGGUGCUCUAUUGUCACCCUAUUGAUCACCCAGCAUUGAUUCAGCUGAUCCAGCUGCUAGGCAGCUGUCCCCUUCCUUCUUCACCGCUCCAUGUGUCUCUCCUGAAGCUUCAGGUGCAGUCAGAGAGGAUGACUUCUCCAACAGUGGAGGACCUCCAUUCUCUGGACGGUUGUGUACCUCUGCUAGAACCUCCAAACAAAUUCUCAAAAAAUGGCAAAGAUACCGUAGAAUCACAAAAAGGGAAAAAAUAACAGCACAGAAUCCUAAGAAGCCUAGAGUAACAGUGGGA